GACGAACGCUGGCGGCGUGCUUAACACAUGCAAGUCGAACGGAAAGGCCCUGCUUUUGUGGGGUGCUCGAGUGGCGAACGGGUGAGUAACACGUGAGUAACCUGCCCUUGACUUUGGGAUAACUUCAGGAAACUGGGGCUAAUACCGGAUAGGAGCUCCUGCUGCAUGGUGGGGGUUGGAAAGUUUCGGCGGUUGGGGAUGGACUCGCGGCUUAUCAGCUUGUUGGUGGGGUAGUGGCUUACCAAGGCUUUGACGGGUAGCCGGCCUGAGAGGGUGACCGGCCACAUUGGGACUGCGAUACGGCCCAGACUCCUACGGGCGGCAGCAGUGGGGAAUAUUGAACAAUGGGCGGAAGCCUGAUGCAGCAACGCCGCGUGCGGGAUGACGGCCUUCGGGUUGUAAACCGAUUUCGCCUGUGACGAAGCGUGAGUGACGGUAAUGGGUACAGAAGCACCGGCUAACUACGUG
rnacentral:rRNA from 1 species